rnacentral:rRNA from 1 species
UACGGGGGGGGCAAGCGUUGUUCGGAAUUACUGGGCGUAAAGGGCUCGUAGGCGGCCAACUAAGUCGGACGUGAAAUCCCCAGGCUCAACCUGGGAACUGCGUCCGAUACUGGAUGGCUUGAAUCCGGGAGAGGGAUGGCAGGAAUUCCAGGUGUAGCGGUGAAAUGCGUAGAUAUCUGGAGGAAUACCGGUGGCGAAGGCGGCAUCCUGGACCGGCAUUGACGCUGAGGAGCGAAAGCCAGGGGAGCAAACGGGG